AUUGAACGCUGGCGGCAGGCCUAACACAUGCAAGUCGAGCGGAGCGGCGGACGGGUGAGUAAUGCCUAGGAAUCUGCCUGAUAGUGGGGGAUAACGUCCGGAAACGGUCGCUAAUACCGCAUACUAUCAGAUGAGCCUAGGUCGGAUUUGCUAGUAGGUGGGGUGACGGCUCACCUAGGCGACGAUCCCUAGCUGGUCUGAGAGGAUGACCAGCCACACUGGAACUGGGAGACGGUCCAGACUCCUACGGGCGGACGCGGUGGGGAAUAUUGCGCAAUGGGCGCAAGGCUGAUGCAGCCAUGCCGCGUGUAUGAAGAGGGCCUUCGGGUUGUAAAGUACUUUCAGCGAGGAGACGUUACUCGCAGAAGAAGCACCGGCUAACUCCGUGCCAGCAGCCGCGGUAAUAC
rnacentral:rRNA from 1 species